rnacentral:rRNA from 1 species
UACGUAGGGUGCAAGCGUUAAUCGGAAUUACUGGGCGUAAAGCGUGCGCAGGCGGUUUUGUAAGUCAGAUGUGAAAUCCCCGGGCUUAACCUGGGAACUGCGUUUGAAACUACAAGGCUAGAGUGUGGCAGAGGGGGGUGGAAUUCCACGUGUAGCAGUGAAAUGCGUAGAGAUGUGGAGGAGCACCGAUGGCGAAGGCAGCCCCCUGGGUUAACACUGACGCUCAGGCACGAAAGCGUGGGGAGCAAACAGG